UCUCUCUCUCUCUCUCUCUCUCUCUCACUGGCCCACCACCGGCACGAGGGGCAGGUAACGAGAUCUCUAACGGGGUGUUCCGAUAUUAAUCAGCCGGACGAGAUCAGGUGAACGAUCGAUCGAUUUAUUUGUGAACGAUGCAUACAACGGUUUGGGCUGGAAAUGGGAUGGAAUGGCGCUGGUGGCAUACCAUGGGAACUCCUCCGAUCUGUGUCCCUGUACCCUGAACCGGGGUAUAUGCAGUUACGUUUGAUGACACUCGAAAUUAUGAGAGCUGCGUAAAAAUGCCCCAAAAUCAAUAGGACAUAAAGUAGAAGCACCGGCAGUCCGCGGUGAUAUCAUGUACCUGAAUAUGUUCCGUUGCGUUCUGUUCCGUUCCGUUAAUUUAAAUUGGAAUGGAACGAUAGGAAGAUGAAGUUAAAUGAAAAUUGUAAUUAUUUCCUUCGUCCCUUAAAUAGUUGCAUUGGGGUUCUCUCACUAGGAAAAUAUCUACCACCACCUUAUAACGGCGUGGAAAGUGACAAUCUUCGCUUUCACUGGCAUGUCGGUGUGUCAUCCUCCUCGAUCGUACGGGCAUCGAUGGGUGCUGCAAGGAAAACCAAACAAAGGUCACGAUAAACCCUUCCUGGCUAGCGACCUAGACUUGGGUGGUAAAGAUGACACUUUCUUUCCUCGGCCCCAUUUCCCCAUCCGUCCAUCCUCCCUAAUCUUCCCGCGUGGUUGUUCCCGCUGUGGAUUAUAGCACACCCGGGGCACGAUUCGAUUGGAAUCGCGGCAAGGGCAAAGCGAUUGAAUGUCAACCAUCUCGCCGUGGUUUGGUAGCUUCCCGAGUGGGGGGAAAAUUCACUUGCACAGCGAUGGGCCGCACGGUGUCAUUCGACUGAUCCGUUGUCCGAUGCUGCUGGGGAGAAAUUCUACUCAUUCGAAGGGUGAAAGAGAAAACGGUCGUGUCGUCACGAUCGGUGUGCGAAAUUCCGCAACCAGGUAAAAGGUUUUCCUUUUGGGAGGUCAUGUGGAGACAAAGCAAAUUUGAAUUUCAAAUACUUCCGCCUCAAUAACCGUUAGCGUGCGGUACGGGUAGUAGUAGGACAACAUAAUCAAUCACCGUACCGCACGCGAUUAUCACCACCAUUACAUGUUGAAUUUGGCGGCGAAUUAUGUGAAAUGUUAAUUAGUUUAAAAUAAUUUUGAGCACAAAAUUCAAAGUCAACUUGCCCUUGCUUUACUCCCGUUUGCUCAUUAGUUGUACCUCGCUGCGUAAGUGUGACGUGUGUGAGUGUGCUUUACUGGCCAUGAACCGUUAGCAGGUUUGACAACUCCAUUCGUUUAGUUUCCUUUUUUCGAUUUACAUGCUUCGAUAAAAUACGGCUCUUUUUUGUCUUUCAAUAAACUAUAACUAACUUAGUAAGAGAAAAUAAUUAAAUAAACUUUCACACUGUUAAACAGACA